rnacentral:misc_RNA from 1 species
GAUGAAGAACGCAGCGAAAUGCGAUACUUGGUGUGAAUUGCAGAAUCCCGUGAACCAUCGAGUCUUUGAACGCAAGUUGCGCCCGUAGCCAUCAGGUUGAGGGCACGUCUGCCUGGGCGUCACAUAUCGUUGCCCAAUGCCUAUUGCAGUGUAAUAGGAAUUUCUAGGGCGAAUGAUGGCUUCCCGUGAGCGUUGUUGCCUCGCGGUUGGUUGAAAAUCGAGUCCUUGGUAGGGUGUGCCAUGGUAGAUGGUGGUCGAGUUAGAACGAUACCGAUCAUGUGCAUGCUCCCCAAAAUAUGGCCUCUAUGACCCACACGCGUCUUUUGACGCUCAUGACGAGACCUCAGGUCAGGCGGGGCUACCCGCUGAAUUUAAGCAUAUCAAUAAGCGGAGGA